rnacentral:rRNA from 1 species
ACGAACGCUGGCGGCGUGCCUAAUACAUGCAAGUCGAGCGGAAUGAUGAAGAAGCUUGCUUCUUCUGAUUUUAGCGGCGGACGGGUGAGUAACACGUGGGCAACCUACCUUGUAGAUUGGGAUAACUCCGGGAAAACCGGGGCUAAUACCGAAUAAUCCAUUUUGCUUCAUGGCGAGAUGUUGAAAGACGGUUUCGGCUGUCACUACAAGAUGGGCCCGCGGCGCAUUAGCUAGUUGGUAGGGUAAUGGCCUACCAAGGCGACGAUGCGUAGCCGACCUGAGAGGGUGAUCGGCCACACUGGGACUGAGACACGGCCCAGACUCCUACGGGAGGCAGCAGUAGGGAAUCUUCCACAAUGGACGAAAGUCUGAUGGAGCAACGCCGCGUGAGUGAAGAAGGUUUUCGGAUCGUAAAACUCUGUUGUAAGGGAAGAACACGUACGAGAGUAACUGCUCGUACCUUGACGGUACCUUAUUAGAAAGCCACGGCUAACUACGUG